UCCCUGAACGGGUUGAAAUAUAAGGCGAAGGCCGUGCACUGAAUUGUGCAUGAAGGAGAGCAGUCAGUAAGCCAGGUGCCGCUCCAUGCUGUCCACCUGAUGCCUGCCCUUACUAUCAGUUUCAUGAGCUGUGGCAUUUCAUCUGCUUGCUGCCAUGGUAACCAGGACUCCUGCCAGUCUUCUUGAUUCCCAUCUUUUAUUCAUCUUUUAUUCAUUUAUAACCUUUGACACCAGUGCCGGUAUUGAUGUCUCUGCACAGACUAGCUGCAGGGGUCCUUUGGACGCCCGCUGCAUUUAAGCCCCUUUCCCCACUGGCUGUCUAUGGUUCUGGUGGGACAGCCAGUCCAAGCGUCCUGCCGAGAGGAUGCCCUUUCCCCGGAGUUUGAAUAUUGAGUCCUGGGCUGCAAGGACUGGCAGUGACUGGUGCUGACUCACCCUGGCCAAGGUGCUCUGAAGAAGCCACUGGUUAGUCCCUGCCUCCCAGACCCCUGGAGCUGCUGUGGUCCCUGAACUCUCCGAGGCCUGCCUCUCCAGAUUUUCCUCCGUAUCUGUGAGCUAUUCGUAUCCUUCCAAUAAAUGUGUCUUUCUCUCUGUCUCUCUUUUUAAAAAAAAACAAAAAAUCUUUAAGUUAGCCAGAAAUAGUUUCUGUUGAUUUUACCCAAAGAUCCCUUCCAAUAGAGCUGUUAUGAUCGGAACUGACCAGACUUUAAUCAUUCU